AGCUUUGCACAGUGGCAGUAUCGUAGCCAAUGAGGUUUAUCCGAGGUGCAAUUAUUGCUAAACUUUUCUCUUUUUCUUUCUUUCUUUUUUUUUUUUUUUGAAACGAGGAUUGAAUUCAGGUCCUUGCACUUACCAGGCAA